UUCGGAUCGGAGUCUGNAACCCGACUCCGUGAAGCUGGAUUCGCUAGUAAUCGCGCAUCAGCCAUGGCGCGGUGAAUACGUUCCCGGGCCUUGUACACACCGCCCGUCAAGCCAUGGAAGCCGGGGGUGCCUGAAGUGUGCAGCCGCAAGGAGCGCCCUAAGGUAAAACCGGUGACUGGGGCUAAGUCGUAACAAGGUACC
rnacentral:rRNA from 1 species